GCCUAAGUGAGAGAAGAGAGGUUACACAGGGGCGAGCGUGUGGGCAGAACCGCCGGGCGAGCAGGGGCAAGGGCCGCGGAGAAGGGUCGAUGUAUGGGUGAGCGUGUGUGUCUGAGCCAGUGAACGGAUACAAGCGACUGGGUUGACUGAUAUUAGACUGGACAGGUAAAAUUGCUGAGUAGAUAAUACGUAUAUAUAUAAUAUUAAAGAUAAGGUGGGUGAUCCAUUGGGCGAAUCAUAACUGAUCCAGCGAUCUUUUUGAGG
rnacentral:lncRNA from 1 species